ACGAACGCUGGCGGCGUGCUUCACACGUGCAAGUCGAACGGAAAGGCCCUGCUUUUGUGGGGUGCUCGAGUGGCGAACGGGUGAGUAACACGUGAGUAACCUGCCCUUGACUUUGGGAUAACUUCAGGAAACUGGGGCUAAUACCGGAUAGGAGCUCCUGCUGCAUGGUGGGGGUUGGAAAGUUUCGGCGGUUGGGGAUGGACUCGCGGCUCAUCAGCUUGUUGGUGGGGUAGUGGCUUACCAAGGCUUUGACGGGUAGCCGGCCUGAGAGGGUGACCGGCCACAUUGGGACUGAGAUACGGCCCAGACUCCUACGGGAGGCAGCAGUGGGGAAUAUUGCACAAUGGGCGGAAGCCUGAUGCAGCAACGCCGCGUGCGGGAUGACGGCCUUCGGGUUGUAAACCGCUUUCGCCUGUGACGAAGCGUGAGUGACGGUAAUGGGUAAAGAAGCACCGGCUAACUACGUG
rnacentral:rRNA from 1 species